rnacentral:rRNA from 1 species
AAGAUGGCGACCGGCGCACGGGUGAGUAACACGUAUCCAACCUGCCGAUAACUCCGGAAUAGCCUUUCGAAAGAAAGAUUAAUACCGGAUGGCAUACGAAUAUCGCAUGAUCUUUUUAUUUAAAGAAUUUCGGUUAUCGAUGGGGAUGCGUUCCAUUAGUUUGUUGGCGGGGUAACGGCCCACCAGACUACGAUGGAUAGGGGUUCUGAGAGGAAGGUCCCCCACAUUGGAACUGAGACACGGUCCAAACUCCUACGGGAGGCAGCAUG